AAGUCGUAACAAGGUCUCCGUUGGUGAACCAGCGGAGGGAUCAUUACUGAGUACUACACUCUCUACCCUUUGUGAACUAUUAUACCUGUUGCUUCGGCGGCGCCCGCAAGGGUGCCCGCCGGUCUCAUCAGAAUCUCUGUUUUCGAACCCGACGAUACUUCUGAGUGUUCUUAGCGAACUGUCAAAACUUUUAACAACGGAUCUCUUGGCUCCAGCAUCGAUGAAGAACGCAGCGAAACGCGAUAUGUAAUGUGAAUUGCAGAAUUCAGUGAAUCAUCGAAUCUUUGAACGCACAUGGCGCCUUCCAGUAUCCUGGGAGGCAUGCCUGUCCGAGCGUCGUUUCAACCCUCGAGCCCCUGUGGCCCGGCGUUGGGGAUCUGCCACGGCAGGCCCCUAAACCAGUGGCGGACCCGAAGGGCCCUCUCCUUUGCGCAGUAGCAUUCGCCUCGCAUCGGGAGUCCUCGGCGUCCUGCCUCUAAACCCCCACAAGCCCGCUUCGGCGGCACCAAGGUUGACCUCGGAUCAGGUAGGAAUACCCGCUGAACUUAA
rnacentral:rRNA from 1 species